AAAUGCCUCACCAUGCAGCCAGAUGAUCACAUCUCAAUUGGUGCUUCCUUUCCUCGCCCUAGCCUCUCUAUUCUGUAAUCAGACUCCCUACUCCUACGCUGCAUUUCCCUGCUCGGCCUGCCUGUCUCCACCUCCCUUCCACAUGGCCACCGCUGGUCCAGGUGCUGUGGCUCUCCUCCUGCAGUGUAGAAACUAUGCAGCAAGGGGACCAUCCUCUCCCUUUGGAGCUGACCCCCAUGUUUUUUUGCAAACCUGAGUGGGACAAGACUUGCAGUUACAAUGUGCAGGAACAUUUUUUAAUGCAACUCCCAGAAACACAGUUAAUUUUUGCAGUGAAGUGGAGUUUACAGAAAAUCAUCUUGCAUCCCAGAGAACCAAAACUGCACGGUUUGGCCUGCGGGGGUGGAUGCCUGGUGUAGGACUCACCCAUCCGCCCCUGUGAACUGGGCUGGAUAUGGGUCCCGCUGUUCAGCCACUGGCUUCAGAGCGAGAUUUGCCUCACAGAAUACGGGGUGAACACAAACUUUCCACUCAUACAUCUGCGAGAGCAGAGCUUUUGCUCCAACUGCUGAUCUCUCCGAUGUUGCUUGCUCUCUGGGGUGAUUUCUCUUGAUCUCAAAGCAUAUGAACUGAGACUAUCCAUGCGGUUGUAAAAACAAUGCAGAUUAAUGAGAGUCACUCCCUACCAGGUGACCCUUAGAAAACCUGCUCUGCAGACACUGGAAGGCAAGAAUUUUUAAUCCAUUUUGGUCAGACAGCGAUUAAAUCACUGGACUUUUUUCUCAUCAGCAGCAUCUUCAGCGUGGAAACUCUGUGGUCAAUUUUUAUGGCCGUUCAGCAGAAGGCUGCACAGGCCUUUGAGGAGGCCACGCACUGACAUGUGCUUCGUUGCUGCUCUGUAAUAAGGUGAAAAAAUGGGGUGGCUCCAGGUCAUGCACAACAAAGACAGCAGCGGCCUGCACUGAGAAAUACUCAACCCCAGAAUGGUUUUGCUGGUGUGCACGUGGGGUAAGUCAUGAAGAGAGCUGUGUUUCAACGCCGGCAGAGGAUAACACAGCUGAUCCUGUGUUUUCUGCACUUCUUUAAAGAGCAGUAAAGCUUCAUGAUGAUGGAUAAAUGCUGUUAUUGUGUGUUAAAUGUGCGUGUUAAGGACAGAGAGCAGUAUGAUGCUUACUUCUUCAAUAAAGAUUGACCAUGCAUCUCUAACUGCUUGGGUGUUUUAUAUCUAAACCAUUCUUGUAGCCCCGAGGGCUGAAACCAGGCUGCUCAGAGUCCAGUCAAAUUCAUUGUGUAAUGUCACCAAGAACUGUUCAAAAACACAUACAUGGUACGUGGAU
ensembl:lncRNA